GAAUGCGGGUAGUCGCUGUCGCGGUCAUUUUGGCGGCGAUAGAGGAAAGUCCAGGCUCGCCCAGACUGAGAUGUCUGGAGUGUUCGUACCUAGUGCAAACUAGGGCAGUGAGGCGACAGCUUCGCUGACGGCGCGGAACUGGUUCUCCCUGAGACCAAAGUACGCUGAAAGUGCCACAGAAACGAGCUUCCUUGGCGACAAGGAAGAUGGAACGCGGUAAACCCUGCGAGCGAGAAACCCAAAUUUGGUAGGGGAACCGUCCUGAAGGAAUCAAACGGAGGGACGGAUGGCAUGGAUCAUGCCAUAGAUAGAUGACUACCGCUCUUGGUGCGAGGGGAUUUCCCCGUUUGCAGCACGGGAGAGACAGAACCUGGCUUACAGCA
rnacentral:RNase_P_RNA from 1 species